GUAAGAUGGCUGAAUUAAGGCGGUGGUUUGUAAUUCCAUUUAUGGGGCGGCAAAGCCUCUCUUAUCA
rnacentral:tRNA from 1 species